rnacentral:rRNA from 2 species
AGGGGUAACAGGGAAGCUUGCUUCCUCUGACGACCGGCGCACGGGUGCGUAACGCGUAUACAAUCUACCUUUUGCUACGGGAUAGCCCAGAGAAAUUUGGAUUAACACCGUAUAGAAUUACAACAUGGCAUCAUGAAAUAAUUAAAGGAUACGGCAAGAGAUGAGUAUGCGUCCUAUUAGCUAGUUGGUGUGGUAACGGCACACCAAGGCAACGAUAGGUAGGGGUCCUGAGAGGGAGAUCCCCCACACUGGUACUGAGACACGGACCAGACUCC